rnacentral:tRNA from 1 species
ACCUGGGUGGCUCAUUGGUUAAGCGUCUGACUCUUGGUUUUGGCUCAGGUCAUGAUCUUGUGGUUGUGGGAUCGAGCCCCACCUCGGGCU